rnacentral:lncRNA from 1 species
ACAUGCUGAAUGAGUCUAAGACUAAAUUCAUGAUUUUCUCCAAUGGUAGAAAUAAUGUCCCCUCCACCCAUAGGAUAUGCACCCGUUCUGGGACUAAUAUUGAGCAAGUUCCUUGCUAUAAAUACCUAGGUAUCUGGCUAGAUGAUAGGCUGUCAUUUAAAUCACAUGUUCUUGACCUAGCUAAGAAGGUUAAAAUUAAACUGGGUGCUCUUUAUAGAAUAAGAUCUUGUUUUACUUUUGAAAACCGAAUGGAAAUAGUGCAAUCAACAAUUUUGUCAGUUCUUGACUAUGGUGACAUUGUUUACAUGUAUGCUGCACCCUCUACCUUAAAACUCCUGGACUCUGUUUACCAUAGUGCUAUUCGCUUUGUUACAGGAGACGCUUUCAGGACCCACCACUGUAACUUAUACAAGAAUGUUGGUUGGUCCCCUCUAGCAGACAGGAGGGAAAAACACUGUCUUUUAUUUGUUUAUAAAGCCUUAGUGGGAAAACUGCCUAAUUAUCUCAUGUCACUUUUAAAAUUAAAAUCCAUCUGUCAUAAUACACGGUCACAGAGCCUCAUCUCCCUUGAAAUCCCCCUUACAAAAACUAAUAUAGGUAAAAUAGCUUUUAAGUUCUUUGCUUCCCAUAAAUGGAACACUAUUCAAGUGGAGUUGAAAUUAACCAAGUAUUUGUCUGUCAACCAAUUUAAGAGCCUUUUAGAUAAUAAGGAUGUGCCUCAAUGUUGUUGUUUUGAAUGAUUCUCUGAUUUAAUUUUUUUACUUUAUGUUAUUUUAUUUAUUUAUUUUUUAUGCUUAAUUUCUGAGUUGUUUGGUGUGUGUUUUUUAAAAAAUGUAUUUUGUCUGUUUCGUUUUGUUGUGGUUUGUUUAUGUAUUGUUCUUCUGUACUAUGUGGCCUCAAUCAGGGCAUUGCUGCAAAAGAGCCCUGUGCUCAGUCAAUUUCUCCCUGAAUAAACAAUGAUGAUGACAUGCAUGUAAGGAGGACUUAUCACCAAUGUGUUGCAUCCACAUACAGUACUGUGCAAAAGUUUUAGGCAGGUGUGAAAAAAAUGCUGUAAAUCA